AAGCAGGAGGGACCACCCUCCAAGGCUAAAUACUACCUAGUGACCGAUAGCGUAUAGUACCGUGAGGGAAAGGGGAAAAGAACCCCGGGAGGGGAGUGAAAUAGAACCUGAAACCCUGCACUUACAACCUGUGGAAGCACAUUUCUUGUGUGACCGCGUACUUUUUGUAGAACGGGCCAACGAGUUACGUUAAGUAGCAAG
rnacentral:rRNA from 1 species